GCAGAAUUCAGUGAAUCAUCGAAUCUUUGAACGCAAAUGGCGCUCUUGGGUUCUCCCAGGAGCAUGUCUGUCUGAGUGUCUUUUUCGUUGAAUGACAUUCGCACGAUGUGGCCGUGUCAUGCACUGGCGUUUCGUGCGGCGUUGAGGUUCGCGGCCUUGCUAUUCUUAGGCCGCGUGCCUUUAAAUGGAGGAGGAAGAUGGGCUCAAGGUCCGGUGCAGUCGCAUGCGGAUUCAGUUCAUGUGCCGCAUGUGACUGCUGCACCGGGGAAUAUUGUCCUCGGCCCUCUACCUCGUGACCUUUAGCACGACGUUCGUUCGUUCGUUCGUUCGUUCGUUCGUUCGUUCGUUCGUUCGUUCGUUCGUUCGUUGCUUGCCGCCAGACCUCAGAUCAGGCAAGGCUACCCGCUGAAUUUAAGCAUAUUAAUAAGCGGAGGAAAAGAAACUAACAAGGAUUCCCCCAGUAACGGCGAGUGAAGCGGGAAGAGCUCAAAUUUGAAAUCUCCGAUGCCUGCAUCGGCGAGUUGUAGUUGCGAGAAGCACUUUCUAGGCGGAAGGGCCCUGCCUAAGUUGCUUGGAACAGCACGUCGCAGAGGGUGACAACCCCGUCU
rnacentral:misc_RNA from 1 species